GAAUGGUCGUGGUCUGGAGAUCUGGGCUGGCAUCAGAAACCACCAAAUCCAAUGAAGUUCUGCUACCAACUUAUUUGAGUUAAUUGAAGAAACUGAGAGGAAAACAGUUAACUCCUGUCAAUUUGGGAUUUGCACUGUCUGAUUUACCAAUCCCUAAGGGAGAUAGAGCCAGAAUCUGGAUCUGACACCCUAUGUGGAGCAGGAGAUGCUUCGAGCAGCCAGCAUGCAAAGAGGUUUAAGAAAAAAAACCACAAAGUACUCCUGGCCAUGUAAUAAA